UACGUAGGGUGCGAGCGUUGUCCGGAAUUAUUGGGCGUAAAGAGCUCGUAGGCGGUCUGUCGCGUCGGCUGUGAAAACUCGGGGCUCAACCCCGAGCCUGCAGUCGAUACGGGCAGACUAGAGUGCGGUAGGGGAGACUGGAAUUCCUGGUGUAGCGGUGAAAUGCGCAGAUAUCAGGAGGAACACCGGUGGCGAAGGCGGGUCUCUGGGCCGAUACUGACGCUGAGGAGCGAAAGCGUGGGGAGCGAACAGG
rnacentral:rRNA from 1 species